GGCCGGUUAGCUCAGUUGGUCAGAGCGUCGUGCUAAUAACGCGAAGGUCGCGGGUUCAAUGCCCGUACUGGCCA
rnacentral:tRNA from 1 species